ACGCGGGACAUAGAGCAGUUACAGCUCACUGAGGACAUUACCCUAGAUAGGAAGAUCUGGAGGACGCGGAUUAGGAUAGAAGGCUAGUGCCAGUUUGAGUCGUUGGAGUAGGGCAUUACUUGGUAGAUGUAUUAUUCUUGCUAGGACACUUUGUUGCAUGCUUUAUUACGAAUUUGAUUACUAUUCUUUGUUUAUUAUUCCUUGUGGGUGGCGUAUUUAUGUCUUGACAUCUUGUUCCAUGCUUUAUUAAGUAUUUAUUUAUUAUUCAUUGUCUUGAGUCGGGGGUCUAUCGAAAACAACCUUUCUACUUCUCCUGAAGUAGUGGUAUGGACUGCAUACAUCUUACCCCUCCUAGACCCCACUAUGUGAGAAUACACUGGAUUUAUUGUUGUUGUCGUUGUUUAUGCAGUAAAUUGAAUAGUAAUAUGUUUACU
rnacentral:lncRNA from 1 species